CCCGGGUCUCCAGACUGUCCCCUCCUCCCCCACUCCCAGCCUGCACCUCCCCCCCUCCUCUGCGGCCGGGCGACCGCUCCUCCUCCCCACUUGCUUUCGCGCAGGUUUUAAGUAAUCUCCACACCCAAGGUGGGGCUCGAACUCAUGACUCUGAGAUCAAGAGUUGCAUGCUGUUUUGACUGAGUCAGCCAGGCAUCACAAGACAGACAUCUGAGUGCUUAUUUCACCUGUAACAUGGGCCUGGAAGAUUGGCACGAGUUGUUAAAAUAACGUGUGUCCACUACAAUGCCAGCCACAGGCUCUGGAGGCUGGGAGUCCAAGAUCAAGGUGUCGUCAGGAUUGACGUCCGGUGAGAGCCCUCCUCUGGGCUUGCACACGGCCACUUUCUCACCCUGUCCUCCCAUGGCCUCUGUUCCGUGCACGCCAAACUAAUGCGUGUGACGUGUUCAUUUGUUUUUUUCACUUUUCUGUUUCAUUUGAAAAAGCUGUAAUGAAUCUAUAUACUUUUUAUCCAGUCAUAGAAUAAAACAAAUCCAAUCUAACAUAA